rnacentral:rRNA from 1 species
ACAUGGUAGGAACCCUUAAGAGGAUUAGGGGUGCUAGCUUGCUAGACCUACACACAGGUGCUGCACGGCUGUCGUCAGCUCGUGUCGUGAGAUGUUGGGUUAAGUCCCGCAACGAGCGCAACCCUCGUCCUUAGUUGCUAACAGUUCGGCUGAGCACUCUAGGGAGACUGCCUUCGCAAGGAGGAGGAAGGUGAGGACGACGUCAAGUCAUCAUGGCCCUUACGGCCAGGGCUACACACGUGCUACAAUGGGGCGUACAGAGAGCUGCGAUACCGCGAGGUGGAGCCAAUCUCUUAAAGCGUCUCUCAGUUCGGAUUGUUCUCUGCAACUCGAGAACAUGAAGCUGGAAUCACUAGUAAUCGCAGAUCAGCUAUGCUGCGGUGAAUACGUUCCCGGGUCUU